CCCUUGUGGGAGAGGAAAGGAGGAGGGGUACUUCAAGAGGAUCCCUUGUAGAGACAGAAGCAGAGAAGAUGGCCGUUUCCUGUCCUGGCUGGAUGUCUGCUUAGCUGACCUGAGCAAAGGAAAGGAGACAUGGAGAAAAAUGAUAAGGCCUCACAGACUGAGCACAGUAUACCUGGUGACCAUGCAACCCAAGUGGCUCAUCCAGAAUUGGGUAUGAUCUAAUCAACAAACCAAGAAGGGCAUGCCAAGCACCACCACAUCAUCAGGUGGGAACAGUUUAUUUGGAACUGGGUCAAGCAGGUCCUGACAGCACGAGCGAGUCACAUGUGCUUUACUCUCCCAACACCCCUGCUCCUGUUAUACUGCCACCCCACGCACAUACCUGUAGCUUCACGAGGAGUCCCCUGUGACCUGUUGACUAUGGAGGAACAACUGCAGCCUGAUUUACAGGUGGCUCCGCACAAUGUGCUGGCAUCACACAGGACUGCUGUGGCAUUAGACCUGCCCUCAGGACCAGGCUCAAAGGACAGCACAGAGGCGCAUCCUUCCAGCAGUACAGCGUGACCACUAUUCUCAACAGAAGAGAUGGCCCGAGAUGCUCCCACCUUCCAAAUGUCCUGGCUCCUAGAAUUACAUCUGUUCUACUCCCUCCAUGGCUCCAUGGAACCUGGACAUCUCAAUUUCCUCCCCAAAAGCUGGAGUUCUCCAAGAUGCAGAAGCCAGAGGGCUGAUGUUCCUGUGCAGGAAGAAGCAACGCCCAGGCCCACUGCCCCCACUCUCUCAGCAGAUUCUCAUUUUCAGAAUCCUGGAAACCAGAGCUAGAAAUCUGCCUCCCUCUGUUUACCCUGAGUUCCAAUGUCACCAACCCCCUUAAUUAAUGCUAGGGUGCUGGGUCAUGCAUAGCACGGUCAGCUUGGUCUCCAGUUCUGGCAGCAGCUGCAGCCAAGGUCAAGAACAACGGGGGCUGGGUUAGCUCUUACUCAUCCACCUAAAUGCCACUGCCCACGCUCUCCGCUCUCGCCCCUCCCGCUGAGCAGUGGCUGCCAGGGCGGCAGGAAGUCCUUCUUCCUGGGCCUGGCGCCCUCCAGCGGUGGGCGCAGAGCACUAGGCUCCAAAACUAGGAAGCCGGCUCAGCCUGCAGCAGGGCAGCUUGGGCAGCUUCACACCUAAACCAGCCUCUAAACGGGCGCACCUGGACAAAACCCAGUAAUUUAGAAAAGCCUGUGUUUCUAGACAUCUCGCACUGCCAGCAUUCUCCAUGAGAAAGGAGCUAAUAGGAUCAACUUUUCCUAUACGCUGGAGACUUAAUGAGUCCCUCACCGACCCAAGGCUGACCUGUAAUCUGACAGAUGACCACGAAAAAGAGGCAAUUUCAAGCCUAAAGAAAGGACCCCAUUAUGUUGACAUUUAGGCAUGAGUGUGGGUGGCAUUGGGGCAGGAGUCCUAUGUGCUGCUCAAAUCCCACCGUAGAGUCAACUGGCAGUGUGGCCUCUGUCUGACACAGCUCAGGCUCUCCUGCUCCGAGGGAGUUUAGCAGAAGGUCCCUUACCCCACCCAGUUCUGCAGCCCCUCUGAGAAGUCACAUAGCUGAUGCCCAUGGGGGCUGGCGGUGUGCCUUCUCACACCUCUCACAUUGCCUGUGGUUCCAGGAGCCAGCUGCGUUUAGUCUGAUCUCUGUUUGUGCCAGUUGUACUCUUUUGUAAUCACAUAUUUUUAAUUAAAUACUAUAUAACUUGAUG
rnacentral:lncRNA from 10 species